rnacentral:rRNA from 1 species
UACGAAGGGGGCUAGCGUUGCUCGGAAUUACUGGGCGUAAAGCGCGCGUAGGCGGACCUGCAAGUCGGGGGUGAAAGCCCGAGGGUCAACCUCGGAACUGCCUUCGAUACUGCGGGUCUCGAGUCCGGGAGAGGUGAGUGGAAUUCCUAGUGUAGAGGUGAAAUUCGUAGAUAUUAGGAAGAACACCAGUGGCGAAGGCGGCUCACUGGCUCGGUACUGACGCUGAGGCGCGAAAGCGUGGGGAGCAAACAGG